CUUUGCUGAAUUUUCCAGCUCCUAGACUUCCCUCUUCCUGGAUUCCUCACUGGACAUGCUAUAUCCUCUGGGACUAGGACACUGGGAUUUACCUUGCUCAGUUCAUGCUGGAAGCUGAAGAUGAGCAGGACAGAAUUUCACAGGCCUUAUAAUACAGAUUUCUGGAAUUUUCUGCUAUAUUCUAUUCAAGUUCCUAGAACAAUAUUUCUGAAAAAUCCUGAAUUUGACUGGAAGCAAUCUUAUGAUUUAUUAUCCAGCAUAAAAGUUGUU
rnacentral:lncRNA from 1 species